UACGAAGGGGGCUAGCGUUGCUCGGAAUCACUGGGCGUAAAGGGUGCGUAGGCGGGUUUUUAAGUCAGGGGUGAAAUCCUGGAGCUCAACUCCAGAACUGCCUUUGAUACUGGGAAGCUUGAGUCCGGGAGAGGUGAGUGGAACUCCGAGUGUAGAGGUGAAAUUCGUAGAUAUUCGGAAGAACACCAGUGGCGAAGGCGACUCUUUGGCCUGUAACUGACGCUGAGGCGCGAAAGCGUGGGGAGCAAACAGGG
rnacentral:rRNA from 1 species